CCUGGCACUGGGGUGGAGUGUGGUGACAUUCAUUGUCUUUACACCUAUAGCAGGACCCUCCUGGUCUGGACUUAGACAUUCUAGAAGCGAACUGAACUCUCUCUCCGAGUUAAGACUUUCAUUUACCCUCUGGAUGCACACUCUCCCAGUUUUAGGUCACAGCAAAACAGACAGGAAGCCUCAGAAGAUUCCCACAUACUUCCUGCCUCAACUCAUGCACAGCGUCCGCCAUGACCACCCCCACCGAAAAGAUGGAUGUCUUACAACUGUUUAAUUUACACAGACACGGUGGGUCCGCCCCACUCAAUCCCAAUUCGGGAGGCAGAGGUAGGUGGAUCUCUGUGAGUUCAAGGUCAGCCUGGUUUACAGAGCAAGUCCCAGGCUAUUCGGAGGUGAUGGCAAAAAAAGGAAUUGGAAGCCCACCUGGCCUUAAAUAGCCCAACACACAAACUUUCGUGCACCAACUCACUUACACACACACACA